ensembl:lncRNA
GUUAUAUCAAGGUUGGAGCUGUUGGGUCAGGAAGUCUUGUGGGAGAACAAAGAGAGGAGAGUGCAAAUAAUUUUAGAGCAGUAAAGAAUUCACCUGCCAGUGCAAGAGAGGCAUCUUUGAUUCCCGAGUCAAAAAGGUCCCCUUGAGGAGGAAAUGACAAGUCACUCCAGUGUUCUUGCUGGGAAAUACCAUGGACUGAGGAGGCUAGUAGGCUACAUUCCAUAGGGUUGCAGAGUUGGACAUGACUAAGUGACUGAGCAAGGUGAGGCAAGAAAUAGUAACAUAAAUCUCAAAAAGUUAGCUAAUGAUUGUGGCAAAAAUUUAGAUGACAUUUGUAACAAUUCUUUGAGUUUCCAAUAAAGUCAUCAAAACUAUAUGAUAGCAUUAUCAAAAUAAUCAUAGUGCUAUUAUCCAUCUUAAUGUUUUAAUUUGUCUAGCUGUGGUUUGAUUCAUCUUGGAGAAACAGUCAUUUGGAGGUUUUUCCACUUAGGAAAAUAUAUUUGAAAUUUCAGGAAGUAUGAAUUCCACUGUUUCAGUCACAGUAAUUCUAUGUAUCUGCAUUUGUGUCUAUAUCUACAUCUGUAACUUUAUAGUAUAUAUUUAGCAAUAUAAAUUGAUUAAGCAAUAGUUAUUUAAGCAGAAAAUAUUGUCAUGAUUUCUUGCUUGAGCUUUCAACUAAAGUUGAAAACUUAAAGAUAGCAUACACCCUGGAUUGUACACUAGGGGAGAGAUAGAAAGAAACCUUAUAUCAAGUUUUCUGAAUUCUCACUAAAAUCAAAAGGAAAUAAACUUUAUUUUGGAAGAGUUCUUUUCUCUUAAAGCAUAUUUUAAUCUCAGGAACUGGUGAUAUCAUAUUAUGGCAGUGCUUUGCUGAUAUAACAGGAAAAUCAUGUGAGUUCCUGUAGAAUUACAUCCAAAAUAUUUGUAAAGUCUGCUGUGAGCUCAGGAAGCAUUUCUCAUUUGUAUGGCCAGAGAAAAGCAAAAUUAGUCAACUCUCCUAACCACAUCCUGUUUAUACCUGAAUAGAAAGAGACAUAUUCCUCUGUGAGAAAACUAACCUUGUGUCAUUCUAUAGACAUAGCUGCAGAAAAAAUUAGUCUAAUUCCUUUUAAAAAUAUAAAUUAAAUGCUUUCAAAAUAUUCUUUAUGUGAACACAUUGUAGUUAUUUCUUGUAGUAAUAAGAACACCUAAUAUUCCUUUUUAAUUUUUAGUUUAUUUCCCAUAUAAAAAUGUCAGUGUUUCUUCAAAGUUUUGCAAGUUUACUGAAGUAUAAUAUUGAUAGUAUUUAUUAUUACACUGAUCACAAUAAAAUAAGAUAUGAGCACUUAUACUAUGUCUAACACAGUCCUAGCACAUCACAUAAAUUAUCACAUUCAAUUCCAUCACUAGGACACAAAAGAUGUACUAUUCUUAUGCUUGCUUUGCACAGUGGUGAAAACAAGGCAUGAUUCAAUAUCUCACAAGAAUCCACAUCUAUUAAGUAUUAAAGCAUUUAUUUAAAGUUAAGAAAAUUGCUUUAAGUAAUAGAACGAGUCAAGGUGAGAGUCAAUAUCUAAGUCUGCUAACUUCUGUUUUGUUUUUUUAUUGGCUGAAUGAUUUCUUUGUUUUGUCUCAUUGUUUUCCUGAGAUUCCUUUAGUUAGUGAGAAUAAAGAUGCUG